rnacentral:misc_RNA from 1 species
GUCGUAACAAGGUUUCCGUAGGUGAACCUGCGGAAGGAUCAUUACCACACCAAAAAAAUAUCCACGUGAAUGUACUCUUGUAUGAGGUUUGUGUUGCUCUUCGGAGUGACUAGCCGAAGGUUUCGUAAGAAACCGAUGUAUUUUUUAAUCCCUUUUAAAACAAUAACUGAACAAUAAUUGCAAACAGAAAUGUGUGCAUACAAAUUGAAAUACAACUUUCAACAGUGGAUGUCUAGGCUC